rnacentral:lncRNA from 1 species
GUGAUUACUGCCAUCAAUCGGUUGGAACGAAAUCAGGCUACCUCAUCUUCCCUAGCUGACAUAGUGGUGGAAUCGUCUGCUAGGAAAAGAAUUGGAUGACGUCCCACUAGAAGAAGUUUGCUCAUAUCAGGGAAAGCAUCGUCUAAGAGUAAAAUUGAUGAAGUAAAGAGCUCACCUCUACCUAUAAAACGAACUACCAAAAGGGCCAAAAGUGUGUUUGAUAUGUUGGGUACUCAGCUUUCACUAAUAUUCAAAGAUGAGCAAACUCAGCCUAUUCAAAGAAUCACUUCAAAAAGGAUAAACCUGAAAUGAGUGCUCUGAGAAAAUGUAGUGCUGACAUGGAGCCAAACAUAAAGGUAUUGUGGAAGAAUAUCUUACCAACCACCA